AUCUGGGGAAGUCUGCUAAAGGGGUAGAUGUGAAACUAUCUUUUUGAAAUCUCAUGUUAGACCCUAACCCUUCAAUGCAUACAUCUGAGAGAUCCACUAGUUCAGUUAAAGAGGGUGGCGAUAUUAUUCAGAUUAUUUAUUGCAACUUCCUUUUCUGCCUUAACUUCCUGUAAUUGAACAUAUCAUUGUAAAAAUAGAGAAGCAGUGAUGGGAGAGCAGGAAGUGUUUGCAUCUGGAUUCCGAGGUCCGUCCAAUCUAGAAGCUGAGGCUAUUAGUGAGACUGCAACUUAACUUUCAUACAAGUUAAAUACCAAAUCAAAGUGCCUUCAGUUCAACUUUAACUUGGGUCUCCCUUCUUAGGCUCAUGCUACUGGUUUCUGCUUCUAAUAUGCAAAGAAGACCAACAAGAACAUAUGUAGACAUAUGUAUGUACAAGCAUUUCAAUCUCUCCGUCCUCUAAGAUUGAACGUUGAGUUUUCCACUUAGCUCUUUGCCAUCCUACGAGCUGCACUUACAGCAAGGUUAGAUUGAGAAAAGGAAAAUGAUGUGCACAAGAAAGGCCAGGAGAUCGAUUAAACAACUCCCAUAAAUCCGUUAAUGCAGGGUAUUGUUUGACUCUAGCUAUAUGUCAGAGCUUCUAUUGUGCUGCUUCAGAGAUCGAUGGUGAAGAAGCUCGAACUAAAGUAGGUCUCCUGUUUCAGUUUGACAUUCAUUAUGCAGCUUAAUUAAAUGUAAAAUCUGUUUACAUUUUUUCCACUCCUCCAGUAGCAUAUUCAAACUCACUUCAUUUGAAUUCUUCGCUUUCCUUCA